UCUCCAUCCCAGAGCCUACGGUAGGUCGGCCCGGCGAAGGAGACGGACGUGGGAGCGGUGAGGUCGGCCGACGGCGGUCGGGCCGGCGCCGAGGCGGGGAGUUUGACGGCGGCGGGGGCGGCGGCGGCGGCGGCGUUGGAGGGUGGCUGGCGCGGGCGGAGCUCUGCGGCGGAACCCUAGCCCGCCCCAGCCGGUGGUGUGGGGAUGGGACUGGGGGGCCGCGAGCACAUGCGCAGGGUCAAUGCAGCCUCGACCCACACGCAAGCGUCCUGAUGCGGCCGUGUUGAUCCCUAACUGCUCCCUUCAAAUCAGGAGAUGAAGAUCACCACACUCCUGGAGCUGAAGCCGUCGACCUCCGGCACUAGGAGCUCCUCGUCCGGCGGCGGGUCGGGUCCGGAGGCGAUGGUGCUCUUGAGUCACUUCGGCUACUUCCAGCGCAGCGCCGCCCGCGAGUUCAUCGUCUUCGUCGCCAAACCAUUGCGCAACGCACCCAGCUGGGCCAGCGGCAGUCCGUCCAGCACAAAGAUCAGCUGGUAGUUUGAUUUCUGGAGCAAGGAAGAAUGGUGAAAUUGUUUGGAUUGCGAGUGGGAAAGUAGUGACGUCUGUUGAUACAUGAUGUUCUAACUGAUCUUAUUCAUCAUUCGUAGUAUUUCAUUUGAUCUCUUCACAUGUCAAUUAUAGGUCUGCGAUUCAUCUGCCAUUGCUGUUCCUCGUACCAAAUUUUGUAAUCUCCUUGCCAUGAGCUGAAAGGCGUGUUGCUACUACAGCCCGGCCCGACGAAACCGCUCACUGUACUACUUCCGGUCCGCUCCAGCGAAAUGCUCAGACCUCAUGGAUUCUUCACUCCAAGCACAGAAAUGGCAAAUGACAAUUUUGUGAAGGCAACAGAGUAUUUCUAGAAGGCUGUUGACGUGGAGGCCCGGCAGCGCGGCCUCGGGGCGAGGUGGGCGCGGCUGCCAGGCGGGGUGGCGCCGCGGCCUCAAGGCAGCGGGGUGGCUCGGCUUCCAGGCGGCGUGGCCUACCAGGUGGCCCGGCAGGCGCGGCCUCCAGGAGGGCCCACGGCGCGGUGUCCUCGCAGGGGUGCCACCGGCAGGGGGCGCGGGGCAGGGGGGGUGUGCGGGCGGCGAGACGAAGCCAGGCGGCGGCGGCCAAACUGGGUACCAGAUGGAUGUAGAGAGGGGUAAAAACGUCUAUAUGGAAAAAUACAAGGAAGGAAUACACUGCGGGUGGGCCCAAGCAGGGGAAAGAGGUAUCCUAAUGGCAUAUCUCCAAUAUGAUGAAUUGUAGUAGCAUAUCUCCAACUUGUGAAAGUUGUAAUGGUACCAAUCCAAAUAACCCUUGUUAUUAUUCUAUAAACAGAAUAUAAAAGAAAGCUAGCGAAGAUACAAAAGACAAGUACCCCUUUGGUUGAAGAAGUAAGCAAUCAACUUACAUUUGUUCUUUGUCCUUAUUCUGCACAACAGAUACAAUAUUUCCUCUAGUCUUUCAACUUUUUCUAGAUAGAAUCUUUGAGAAGGUUCAAGCUGAAGGAGGAAAUUAUUGAUGCAGAAUACACUCUAACAUGUGAUAGAAUUGUGAGCCUGAAGACAAGGUCGGUUCUCCUAAGAACUGUAGACUGUAGCAAUUAGUUCUCAUGCAAAUUAUAAUCUUGAUCAGAAGUUCCUAUCAUAAUUAUGUGGUUAAUUGGAUCUUAUCAGUAUUAAUCUGGUUUAUUGAUCUCCCAUAGUGUUUGUCAUUGUACUGUUAUAUAACAUAAAACUGAGCUUCGACUGGUUCAUUGUUUUUAACUUGCCCCACUUUACUUGGUAUUGGGGCUCACAUUAAUACCCUUGCGCCCUUGUUUCAUUAUUUGCUUCUGAGCACAUGUUUCUAUUUACUAUAUUGUUAAUAAUUGAUGAAAUAGAAUUUGCAUGUUCUUAUAGGUGAAAGCAGUUGGAGAGGAAAUGGGAAUAUUAUUUCUUGGACUUAGCUUUGAGCUGAAAUAGGCAUCGAGUGAUAUGUUGUCUUAUUUUCAUUUCUACACAAGAUAAUAGUGGAUUUAUAUGAGUUCAAUAAAUUAGGACUGCAUUUGUAAUGUAUAUAAUGGAUAAAGCAUGCGAAUUUGUGAUGCAAAGAAUGGAUAAAACAUGUGUAUAGAUGGAUAUAUUCUAUCCUCCUUUUUUCU